AUCCAACUAAAAUAACCCCCCCUGUAAAAACCACCUCCUCCUCCUUCAACCUAACCUAAUGUUAUAAUCUACACCUCAAUUCAGAAACUGAAGCCCACCCUUAACCCCAUUCAAUAUUUCGUCCAUUCCAAUCACCCCAUUCAAUUGUUUUGUACGUUACUCAGGGAAAAGCAUCCCAAUCACAAGGUUCAAUUCUUUCAAACUCCAUCCUUCAUUGAUUACAGAUGAUUCAAAUCGAAAAUUGAAGGCCACUCAAUAAUUGACGCAACUAAUUGAAUUCCCAGCAUCGUUUGGAAACCCACAACUAUUUAAAAUGGACCCCUCACAUCAAUUGUUUGCUCAUUUGCAAUUUCAAUUCCAUAUUCUCAGGUCCGUGCAGGAUUCUCGCUUCACACUGCCGCGUCCGGAAUCCCCGUUUAUCAGGAACCAACGAACAAUGGAAGGAACAACUAACCAACCGAAGCCAACACACCCGGAAACGGCCCCAGCAGUCAAGCAUAAUAAGAAAAGGAAAACACCAUCUGUAACAAAACCAUCGCUCAGUGAGUAUGACCCGCAAGCGGAUUCCCCGGCAAAGCACGUUAAACCAACCCCAUCAGCAACGUCCAUGAACAACCCAACACAACUGACAAACAAGAAACAGGGGGCUAUCGCUACAACCUCUGAACCGGAAAACAAACGCAUAGACCAAGAAAAAAACAACGACGAUUGGGAAGAUGAUGAAUGGUGGUCAACCAAUAUACACGACAUCAUCGCCGCAUGCACCCCUCAUGACACCAAUUGAACAACCUCUGUAUGAAUACGUCCUAAGGCUUUAAAGACGUCUACUGUAACUCAGUACUUAAUAACUCAAUAAGGCGCACUUGCAGCCAGCCUACCCACGAUGCCUAGGUUACCUACCGACGUGAUAAUUUCAGACAUACUAACAAGGGUCCCGGCCAAGACUGCCGCACGAUCUAAAAGUGUCUGCAAGGAAUGGCGUGCACUACUAUCCACGCGCGACUUUGAAAAAGCUCUCGCAGACGGGUCAGUGUGCAUCACUGACAAUGGACGUGGGGUAUGAACUUAUAUACAUAACUUAAAAGCGGUUGCUAUAUAGUGAGCAUAAUGGAGAAACAAGUAAAAUGUUUUGAAUUUUAAAAUGAUUUGAUUUUGUGCAAUGUCUAAACCCUGUUCAUACCCAUUAACAACAUCCCAUAAAUCGAAAAAGAAUCCCAGAACAACAAGGCCGAUGAGUUGGGGCAGGGGUGAAAACCCUACCCAAUUCCAUGAUGGGUUCGGUGUUAAAUAAUUGCAUGAAUGAAACGUAUGGGGUAAUUGUACCAGUGGGCUACAACCCACAUGCCUUCUUUAAAGUUAAGUAUUUUAAUAUAAAAAUUAGAGUAAACCAAAGGGACCAUUUAUGAAGUUUACAACAAUUACUUUGUGACUUUUUCAUGUAUGUUCUACAAGUUUUGAGACUUUUAUAUCCUAAAAUUAGGUUAUACGAACCUUUCUUUGUUACAAAAGUAGUUUGUUAUGUAUGAGUUCCAAAGUCUUUGAACACUUGUGUCUCAUACAAUGCAAUGAAAGUUGCACUUUCCUUUAAAUAAACUAAUAAAAUUCAAUGGCAUCUAAGGGUUUCAGCCAAAUCGUCUCUCUCUAAGAAACCUAAUCGACCUCAUCUUCAACGUUACUUCACUUCAUCUUCCUUCCCGUAACUGUGAAUCAUCAAUCAUCAUGAUGAGAGUAUACGAACCGCUAAGGUAAUCAAUUGUAUUGAAUUGCACCAGCAAUCGUUCUCUUCUCCUCUCUAACAAAAGCAUCCCCAUCAUGAAGAUAACUCACGGUGUUCAGAUCUAGGGUUCCGGCUCUUCCCUGUCUUCUCCGAACUCAGGUUUCUUAAAGCACCUCCAACUCUCAUCAGCUUUCAGAAAUUUCAAGAGAUUUGGUGAUGCUUUUCCUCUUCGGGUCUCGAAUUGCAACCCUGUAAAGACAAAUUACAGGAGAACAAUUGUACUGAGGAUAUUAAUAAGUGAUGAAGUGAUAUUUUGUGUGGGGAUUCAAUGAGAAUUUGGGGAUGUUUGGAUUUGGAUUUUCAACUCUUGUCCUGCUGUUUAUAACCCAAUGCCCAAUGCCCAAUGCCCAAAGCAAAUAAGGAUGAAGUCUGGCUUAUGCAGAUUGCUGGACAUAAGGACCUUCUAGAGGGUGAUUCUUACUUAAAACAAAGAAUUAGAUUGCGAGAUUCGUCUAGCACAACCUUAAAUGUAUUUUAAGCUUAUACCCUAAAGCGAAUGUGUGACCCAAACCAUCAAGGGAGGUAGCAUGACUCUUUGGGAGCUUUAGGUUGACCAUCAAAACCUUUUGUCCAUAAUUUAUUGUUUCAGGAGUAAUUUAUUUUAUUAAAUAAUAUUUAUGGGGGUUUUUAUGCAUUUUGAAAUAGACACUGGAGCGACUUUUGACAUGUAUCAGCAAGAGUUGAGAUGAAGUUAACUUGACUUGUUUUUACUUAACAAUGUAUCAGACUUGAAGGUGUUGUGAAAAAGUGCAGUUUCUUAUGCUCUCAACCACCAACUGAGCCUUGAUGAUUUAACUUAAAUAAUUGAUGAGGAAAAUAUAAAAGUCACAAUGGAAGCUUUCUUGAAUGCUCUUCAUGAAGUUAUUCCUGCUUUUGGUGCUUCAACAGACGAACUUGAACGUUGCAGUGGUAAGACUGCAAUGGCAGCAACUGUUGGUAUUGGUAGCGAUUUCUCCUAUGUGAAGAUUGUAAGUUCUUCUAUAUUUUAACUAUGGGACAAUUCCAUGAUACCCUUCAAUACUUAUCAUAUACCUGUCUAGGGUGGGGUUUGGCUACAAAGUCCAUUUUUUCUACAAAGUGUACAAACUCAUAAAACACCACAAUUUCAGUCAUAAAACACACUCAAAACCUAUAAAUAACAUAGUGAAGAUCACUAAAACACAAUAUCCAAACCCUAACAAUCCAUAAAAACUUCAAACACACCAUUCUAGAACUAUGAAUAUAACACACAACAGGAUAAUCAACAUAAAACACACUAAUAUUAGUCAUUCGAUAAUCAAAGUCUUAUCAUCUAAAACACAACACAAAACCCACAAAUAUGGCGUUUAGUAAUCUUCACUUUGUUAUUUGGGGGGUUUUGAGUUUGUUUUAUGGUUAACAUUAUGGUGUUUUAUGACUUUUUACACUUUAUAGGAAAAAUGGACUUUGUAGCCAACUCCCACCCUACCUGUCUAACAAAAAGUUAUAAUAUCAAAUAUACUCAUUUUCAAAUUUGUGACAUUUAUGAUACUUGUGGCUAUGCUCGUUGAUGGAUGGAUGGACAUCAUCAUACUGGUUCUAAAAUUGGCAAGGUCGGAAACAGAAAUAAAUCAAGAGGAACCCUCAUGUUUAUUGUUUUGGUAUCAUAAUUUACUGAUCAUUUCUCUUUUUUUUUUUACUUUACAAACAUUCAAUUGGUUUUUGACUUGUCAUUUUGUCGUGUGUAAAACGGUCCACGUCACAAGUACUCUUUAUUUGAUAUAUCGAUUAAAUAUUGGGAUGAAUUUUACAUCCUAAAGCA